GCCCUUAGAGUUUGAUCCUGGCUCAGAAUGAACGCUGGCGGCGUGCCUAACACAUGCAAGUCGAGCGAGAAAGGGGACUUCGGUUCCUGAGUAGAGCGGCGCACGGGUGAGUAACGCGUGGAUAAUCUGCCCAUUGAUUCGGGAUAACAGUGGGAAACCGCUGCUAAUACCAAAUAAGCUCAUGCAUUUUGGAGAUGUGUGGGGAAAGGCGGCCUCUGAUUCAAGCUGCCGUCGAUGGAUGAGUCCGCGUCCCAUUAGCUUGUUGGUGGGGUAAAGGCCUACCAAGGCGACGAUGGGUAGCCGGCCUGAGAGGGUGGCCGGCCACACUGGGACUGGAACACGGCCCAGACUCCUACGGGAGGCAGCAGUGGGGAAUAUUGCGCAAUGGGCGAAAGCCUGACGCAGCAACGCCGCGUGAGGGAAGAAGGCCUUCGGGUCGUAAACCUCUGUCAGGAGGGAAGAAUGUCAUGGAUUCGAACAGGGUCCGUGUUUGACGGUACCUCCAAAGGAAGCACCGGCUAACUCCGUGCCAGCAGCCGCGGUAAUACGGAGGGUGCGAGCGUUAUUCGGAAUUACUGGGCGUAAAGGGCGUGUAGGCGGCCUUGUAAGUCAGGUGUGAAAUCCCACGGCUUAACCGUGGAACUGCACUUGAAACUGCUUGGCUGGAGUACGGGAGAGGGCGGCGGAAUUCCCGGUGUAGGAGUGAAAUCCGUAGAUAUCGGGAGGAACACCAGUGGCGAAGGCGGCCGCCUGGACCGUAACUGACGCUGAGACGCGAAAGCGUGGGGAGCAAACAGGAUUAGAUACCCUGGUAGUCCACGCUGUAAACGAUGGAUGCUAGGUGUCGGCGAGCA
rnacentral:rRNA from 1 species